rnacentral:rRNA from 1 species
AACGAACGCUGGCGGCAUGCCUAACACAUGCAAGUCGAACGAGACCACCGGGUCAAGUGGCGCAUGGGUGCGUAACGCGGCGGAACCGGCCCUUAGGUAGGGAAUAACUCUCUGAAAGGGGUGAUAAUAUCGGAUAAUGUCUUCGGACCAAGGAUUUAUCGCCUUUGGAUGGGCCCGCGUUGGAUUAGCUUGUUGGUAGGGUAAAAGCCUACCUGGGCGUCGAUCCAUAGCUGGUUAGAGAGGCUGAUCAGCCACGCUGAGACGAGGACACGGCCUGGACUCCUACGAGAGGCGGCAGAGGGUGAUAGAGGACAAUGGGCGAGAGCCUGAACCAGCUAGGCCGCGUGAGUGAUGUAGGCCGUAGAGAUGUAAAGCUCUUUUACCCGGGAUGAUAAUGACGGUACCGGAAGAAUAAGCACCGGCUAACUCCGUG